UAAGGGGCCGUUUUCUUCGUCUUUGCGACGGGACAGUUUUUUUUUUGCGAGGGACGGGACAGUUUCAUGUCUGAAUUUCACCAUCUAUAUAUGCAUAAGCGAGUCCAUGAAUCAAUCAUGUCUUGGUAUCAGGAUUACGGGAACUUCAAAGCUUACGUCUGCAAGGCGUACAAGGGCUAUCCCCUCCUCGAGGCGUGUCGAAGCCUGGGCCUGGAGGCAGACAACAAUGUAUACGGCCCACUUUGAUCGUGCCGAUGAUGAUGCCAUCGGCAACAUUAGGAUGGUCCUGCCGGAUGGUGAUAAUAAUAAUUGAUAAGUUAUGUUUCCUUUUGGGGAUCAUACAUCUGAACAUAGGGCAGUUCAAUCUCUCUGUUAAGGUUAAUAAAUCGAGUGGUUGUGCUCUUAGAUUGAUCUGGUUUGUUGGGUUGACAUGUGAAAUCAAUACCUGGAUCCUGGAGUACAUGCUCUGUUGAAAAAAAAAAGAACCAGUAUAGAAAGUUUGGGUCAUCUAGACUAUGCUGAAUGCCAAAUUUAUCAUGCAAAUUUGGUCGUGGCAGUUUUUUU
rnacentral:lncRNA from 1 species